rnacentral:rRNA from 1 species
GAUGAACGCUGGCGGCGUGCCUAAUACAUGCAAGUCGAGCGAACAGACGAGGAGCUUGCUCCUUCGACGUUAGCGGAGGACGGGUGAGUAACACGUAGGUAACCUACCUAUAAGACUGGGAUAACUUCGGGAAACCGGCGCUAAUACCGGAUAAUAUUUCGAACCGCAUGGUUCGAUAGUGAAAGAUGGCUUUGCUAUCACUUAUAGAUGGACCUGCGCCGUAUUAGCUAGUUGGUAAGGUAACGGCUUACCAAGGCAACGAUACGUAGCCGACCUGAGAGGGGGAUCGGCCACAUGGGAAGGGGGACACGGUCCAGACGCCUACGGGAGGCAGCAGUAGGGAAUCUUCCGCAAUGGGCGAAAGCCUGACGGAGCAACGCCGCGUGAGUGAUGAAGGUCUUCGGAUCGUAAAACUCUGUUAUGAGUGAAGAACAAACGUGUAAGGAACUGUGCACGGCGUGACGGUACCGAAUCAGAAAGCCACGGCUAACUACGUG